UACAGAGGGUGCAAGCGUUGUCCGGAAUCACUGGGCGUAAAGGGCGCGUAGGCGGCCUGAUAAGUCGGGGGUGAAAUUCUGCGGCUUAACCGCAGGACGGCCUUCGAGACUGUCGGGCUUGAGCACGGUAGAGGCAGGUGGAAUUCCCGGUGUAGUGGUGAAAUGCGUAGAUAUCGGGAGGAACACCAGUGGCGAAGGCGACUACCUGGCCUGUUUCUUGACGCUGAGGCGCGAAAGCUAGGGGAGCAAACGGG
rnacentral:rRNA from 1 species